UGACGACGGAAUGGGUGGAAGGUGGAGAACGGUUGGACAAGUCCAGUCAAAAGGAUGUUACCGUGUUGUGU
rnacentral:ribozyme from 1 species